rnacentral:tRNA from 2 species
UGGGAGAUCGUCUAAUGGUAGGACAGCGGAUUCUGACUCCGUCAAUCUAGGUUCGAGUCCUAGUCACCCAGCCA